UAAGGAAUGCCACUGAGCCAGGAAAAGCAGGAAGGAUGUGACCAACUGUGUCAAAUGCUGCGGAGAGGUAAAACAUGAGGAAGUCCAAGAAUCGACUGUAGGGCGUGAUGGGACAGCAGUCAUUGCUGCCGGUCUAAAUGAAAGUUGCUUUGUAGCAAUGCUGGAGAGUAGAGUGAGCUGAAGGACAUAGACACAAGCAAGAAGAACAAAGAGUUGUAGACAAUUGUUUCCAGGAGUAUGGCUUUAAAGGCAGAGAAGAUAAGCUGGCAGAUGGUAUGUGGAAGACAUACUGUCAAGAGACUGCUUUUUCUUUCUUUGUUUUAUUGUUUCUUUUCGGAUGGCUGAUAGCAGGCAUGCAUGUGUGUACAACAAAGAGAGUAACCCAGUAGUGAGGGAGAAAUUGAUGCUGCGGGAGAGAGGGAAUAAUUGCCGAAGCAAAGAUCUUGAGGUACUGAGAAGAAAGGAUGACCCUAAUUUCCUUAAUGAUGCAUUGUGGAUAAUUCAAGAUGUGGAUGAGGAUACAUCUUCAAAGAUGUUCACUGAAGUGUUUAUAAUAGCAACGGAAAAAAAUAAGUUUGAAAAAUGUAAAUGACCCCAAAUAGGACAAUCAUUAAAUUGUUGCUUAUAUAAUAUCAAGUUAUUUUUAAAAGUUUUCAAAAGAUAAUGAGAAGGGAAAAUUCUCAUAACUAAAAAAAAGAUUAAUUACAUAUAUAUACAAUCUAUAAUCUCUGUUUUAUAAAAUGUUUCUGGCUGUAUCUUUCUACCUGUCUCUCCCUGUCUCUUUUAGUCUGUCUCAAUACAUGCCAAAACAUUAAGAUGGUUCUUUCUGGAUAUAAGAAAUAAAGACGCAUUUUUUUUUUCUUUU